rnacentral:misc_RNA from 1 species
GAUGAAGAACGUAGCGAAAUGCGAUAGGUAAUGUGAAUUGCAGAAUUCAGUGAAUCAUCGAAUCUUUGAACGCACAUUGCGCCCCUUGGUAUCCCGAGGGGCAUGCCUGUUCGAGCGUCAUUUCACCACUCAAGCCUGGCUUGGUGUUGGGCGACGUCCCCUUUGGGGACGCGCCUCGAAACGCUCGGCGGCGUGGCACCGGCUUUAAGCGUAGCAGAAUCUUUCGCUUUGGAAGUCGGGGCCCCGUCUGCCGGAAGACCUACUCGCAAGGUUGACCUCGGAUCAGGCAGGGAUACCCGCUGAACUUAAGCAUAUCAAUAAGCGGAGGA